rnacentral:rRNA from 1 species
GUGGGGAAUAUUGGACAAUGGGCGAAAGCCUGAUCCAGCCAUGCCGCGUGUGUGAAGAAGGUCUUCGGAUUGUAAAGCACUUUAAGUUGGGAGGAAGGGCAGUAAGUUAAUACCUUGCUGUUUUGACGUUACCGACAGAAUAAGCACCGGCUAACUUCGUGCCAGCAGCCGCGGUAAUACGAAGGGUGCAAGCGUUAAUCGGAAUUACUGAGCGUAAAGCGCGCGUAGGUGGUUUUGUAAGUUGGAGGUGAAAUCCCCGGGCUCAACCUGGGAACUGCCUCCAAAACUGCAUGACUAGAGUACGGUAGAGGGUAGUGGAUUUUCCUGUGUAGCGGUGAAAUGCGUAGAUAUAGGAAGGAACACCAGUGGCGAAGGCGACUACCUGGACUGAUACUGACACUGAGGUGCGAAAGCGUGGGGAGCAAACAGGAUUAGAAACCCGGGUAGUCC